rnacentral:rRNA from 1 species
UACAGAGACCUCAAGCGUUAUCCGGAAUCAUUGGGCGUAAAGCGUUCCGAUAGGUUGUGUAUUUAGUCUUGGGUAAAAGCCAGAAGCUCAACUUCUGAGUUUGCUUAAGAUACUGAUACACUAGAGGGGCAAAGAGGUGCUUGGAACGAACGGUGUAGUAGUGAAAUGCGUAGAUAUCUGGAGGAACACCGGUGGCGAAGGCGGCAUCCUGGACCGGUAUUGACGCUGAGGCGCGAAAGCUAGGGGAGCAAACGGG